CAAUAACGUAUGUUAAAGUUGUUGCAGUUAAAAGCUCGUAGUUGUAUUUCUGGGUGGUUUGGCGGCGAGCGCCGAACGGCGUGUCGACGCCGAGCCAUCUUUUCGUCUAUGGGCCGCGUCUGGUCUUUGUUGACUGUGGCGCGUCGCAUAGGCCUUUUACUGUGAGAAAAUUAGAGUGCUCAAGGCAAGCCAAUGCGUUUGAAUAUUACAGCAUGGGAUAACAAAAUACGACUUCGUGCUAUUUUGUUGGUUUCUUAGAACGGAAGGUAAUGAUUGAUAGGGAGUGGUUGGGGGUGGCUAGUAUUUCGUCGGCCAGAGGUGGAAAUUACAUGGAUUCGCGAAAGACUAACUAAUGCGAAAGCAUUCACCAAGGACGUUCCUUUUAAUUCAAGAACGAAAGUUAGAGGGA
rnacentral:rRNA from 1 species